GAAACUUCCAGGACAUGAUUUCACAACAGGCCGCAGCCCAGUGUGGAGUCAGUUUCUCAAAUGAGUGCACAAGAACACGAGACUUAAAUACAUCUUCAGAAUGAGAGCACACACGCACUUGGAGUAUUAUGACGCUACAAGUUUGACAGGCAAUCUGAUGCACAUGAAGACAAUCAGAGGAAUACAAGAGACUGAGAUCUGCUCUUCACCGUCCACCAUGUCAGCUGUGACAGCAACAGCAAGACCAGGUCAAAAAGAUAGACCUGUUUGAGACUCAAGAACCUCCACACAGUGGACUUGGGUAAGGAAGACACCCACCAGACACACCACUGCGUGAGCACCAAAUGUGCUGCAAAGGAAACUUCCAGGACAUGAUUUCACAACAGGCCGCAGCCCAGUGUGGAGUCAGUUUCUCAAAUGAGUGCACAAGAACACGAGACUUAAAUACAUCUUCAGAAUGAGAGCACACACGCACUUGGAGUAUUAUGACGCUACAAGUUUGACAGGCAAUCUGAUGCACAUGAAGACAAUCAGAGGAAUACAAGAGACUGAGAUCUGCUCUUCACCGUCCACCAUGUCAGCUGUGACAGCAACAGCAAGACCAGGUCAAAAAGAUAGACCUGUUUGAGACUCAAGUUUGGAAGACAAUCCCACAACCGUGUGAUUCAAAGACAGAUGGAGGACUUUCAGUGAACAGACAGUGUGUGACAUUUUGAGCUUCUGUAUCCUUCAAAAGCCUACGAUGUAUACAAGCUUAAAGCAUCAGAGACUACUGGUGAACUAUUUGUGCAGUGUCCACAGCAAAUGAGAAGACACUUGGAGAG